GGUCGUAUAGCUCAGUUGGUUAGAGCGCAGCAUUCAUAAUGCUGAUGUCGUAGGUUCAAGUCCCACUACGACCACCA
rnacentral:tRNA from 26 species